rnacentral:rRNA from 1 species
CCGUCUACUCUUGGACAGCCUUCUGAAAGGAAGAUUAAUACAAGAUGGCAUCAUGAGUCCGCAUGUUCACAUGAUUAAAGGUAUUCCGGUAGACGAUGGGGAUGCGUUCCAUUAGAUAGUAGGCGGGGUAACGGCCCACCUAGUCUUCGAUGGAUAGGGGUUCUGAGAGGAAGGUCCCCCACAUUGGAACUGAGACACGGUCCAAACUCCUACGGGAGGCAGCAGUGAGGAAUAUUGGUCAAUGGGCGAGAGCCUGAACCAGCCAAGUAGCGUGAAGGAUGACUGCCCUAUGGGUUGUAAACUUCUUUUAUAAAGGAAUAAAGUCGGGUAUGGAUACCCGUUUGCAUGUACUUUAUGAAUAAGGAUCGGCUAACUCCGUGCCAGCAGCCGCGGUAAUACGGAGGAUCCGAGCGCUAUCCGGAUUUAUUGGGUUUAAAGGGAGCGUAGAUGGAUGUUUAAGUCAGUUGUGAAAGUUUGCGGCUCAACCGUAAAAUUGCAGUUGAUACUGGAUAUCUUGAGUGCAGUUGAGGCAGGCGGAAUUCGUGGUGUAGCGGUGAAAUGCUUAGAUAUCACGAAGAACUCCGAUUGCGAAGGCAGCCUGCUAAGCUGCAACUGACAUUGAGGCUCGAAAGUGUGGGUAUCAAACAGGAUUAGAUACCCUGGUAGUCCACACGGUAAACGAUGAAUACUCGCUGUUUGCGAUAUACUGCAAGCGGCC